UGAGGAAUCUCGCGCAAUGGGGGAAACCCUGACGCAGCAACGCCGCGUGAGUGAGGAAGGUCUUCGGAUCGUAAAGCUCAGUCAGUUGGAAAGAAAUGUCUGAGAGUCAAUCCCUUUCAGGCUUGACGGUACCAACAGAGGAAGCACCGGCUAACUCCGUGCCAGCAGCCGCGGUAAUACGGGGGGUGCAAGCGUUGUUCGGAAUUAUUGGGCCUAAAGAGCGUGUAGGCGGCCGGAUAUGUCAGAUGUGAAAGCCCCGGGCUUAACCCGGGAAGUGCAUUUGAAACUGUCCGGCUCGAGUAGGGGAGAGGGAAGUGGAAUUCCUGGUGUAGAGGUGAAAUUCGUAGAUAUCAGGAGGAACACCGGUGGCGAAGGCGACUUCCUGGCCCUAUACUGACGCUGAGACGCGAGAGCGUGGGUAGCAAACAG
rnacentral:rRNA from 1 species